rnacentral:rRNA from 1 species
UGGGGAUGACGUCAAGUCAUCAUGGCCCUUACGACCAGGGCUACACACGUGCUACAAUGGCGCAUACAAAGAGAAGCGACCUCGCGAGAGCAAGCGGACCUCAUAAAGUGCGUCGUAGUCCGGAUUGGAGUCUGCAACUCGACUCCAUGAAGUCGGAAUCGCUAGUAAUCGUGGAUCAGAAUGCCACGGUGAAUACGUUCCCGGGCCUUGUACACACCGCCCGUCACACCAUGGGAGUGGGUUGCA